CGAGAGGCAGGAAGGUUAUUGAGCUCCGCUACAGCAACCUCGUGACUUCUUACCUAUUAAAAAUUUCAACUUUAAUGCCCUCUCUUUCUUGAAACACAGACACCGAAAGAAAUCUAAAUCGGUAUCGUAGAACAUUCAUAUAGGUAAAGCACAAAAUAAAUACAAAUAAUACCUCCUUGAGGAGAUGGCGCUGCGAGUCUGAAUUGGUCGGUGCUGCAGACAUUUUUUUCUUUGGAGAGACCCACUUUCUAGGAGCAUUUAUUUAUGGAUUUUGAAAUGUGUUAGAGUUAAAUAUAUAUACCCAUAUCAUUACAAUAAAUAAAUUGAUUCAAACAUGCUCUUAUGGAAG
rnacentral:lncRNA from 1 species